CAGGUCCUUGUCCAUCUUCCAGAACAAACUGAGGGAGCAACUUGAACCCGGUAUUGGGCCAUGUUUUUUCACUGGAGUACCUGGUUCUUUCUACGGAAGGCUUUUCAGGAAAAACUGCCUUCGUUUUGUACACUCUUCCUAUAGUCUGCAAUGGCUCUCUCAGGUUUAGUUUAUAUAUUAAUGAAGUAUAGUCUAAUAUAAUAUAUCUGUAAUCACUUUAGAAUGAAAAAGAGCUUGUAAUUUAUGAGUGGACUAUUUUGAUUUGAUCCAGGUUCCUCAAGGGCUGGAAAGUAAUAAAGGGAACAUUUACAUGGCUAGCACAAGUCCACCAAACGUGCUUAAGGCUUACUAUGAGCAAUUUCAACAGGAUUUUUCCUUGUUUUUAAAGUGUAGGUCAGAGGAACUGGUGGAUGGAGGGCGCAUGGUUUUGACAUUUUUAGGGAGAAGAAAUGAUGACCCUUCAAGCAAAGAGUGUUGUUACAUUUGGGAGCUUUUGGCCAUGGCUCUCAAUGAUAUGGUCCUUGAGGUAUAGAAUGAAUAAUUCUACUCACCGUUGCUGGGAUUUGAAACAUACAUUUGCAGGAUAGGAUACAAUCUUUUAAAGAUAACUAAAUGAAUCAAUCAAAUUUAGGUUAUUCCAUCAGGGAUAGUUAUCAAUUGGACACUAGUUGAUAUUAUCUAUAGAUUUGAGCCACCCCACCUACCUACGUAUCAUAUCAUUUCCCAAAACUGAAAAUCUGAUAUUGACUGGCCCAUAAACUAGUAAACUAGGGAGUUAAUUCCCUAAAGUAUAUUUUGCUGCAUAUAUAUAUAAAGUUGAUAAACUAGAUAUUAAUUAGAUAAUAAAGAAAACAUGAAAUAAAUGCAGGGAGUGAUAGAAGAAGAGAAACUGAACAGCUUCAACAUCCCACAAUACACACCAUCUCCAGCAGAGGUUAAAUAUGAGGUUGAGAAGGAAGGGUCGUUCAGCAUCGAUCAAUUGGAAGUAACUGAAGUGAAUUGGAACGCUUAUCAGAACGAAACUGACUUAUCUGAUGCAUUCAAGGAUGGUGGGUACAACGU
rnacentral:lncRNA from 1 species